rnacentral:rRNA from 1 species
AUUGAACGCUGGCGGCAUGCCUUACACAUGCAAGUCGAACGGUAACGCGGGGCAACCUGGCGACGAGUGGCGAACGGGUGAGUAAUGUAUCGGAACGUGCCCAGUUGUGGGGGAUAACUGCUCGAAAGAGCAGCUAAUACCGCAUACGACCUGAGGGUGGAAGCGGGGGAUCGCAAGACCUCGCGCAAUUGGAGCGGCCGAUAUCAGAUUAGGUAGUUGGUGGGGUAAAGGCUCACCAAGCCAACGAUCUGUAGCUGGUCUGAGAGGACGACCAGCCACACUGGGACGGAGACACGGCCCAGACUCCUACGGGAGGCAGCAGUGGGGAAUUUUGGACAAUGGACGCAAGUCUGAUCCAGCCAUUCCGCGUGAGUGAAGAAGGCCUUCGGGUUGUAAAGCUCUUUCGGCAGGAACGAAACGGCGAGCUCUAACAUAGCUUGCUAAUGACGGUACCUGAAGAAGAAGCACCGGCUAACUACGUGCCAGCAGCCGCCGUAAAAC